rnacentral:rRNA from 1 species
GACGAACGCUGGCGGCGUGCUUAACACAUGCAAGUCGAGCGGUAAGGCCCUUUCGGGGGUACACGAGCGGCGAACGGGUGAGUAACACGUGGGUGACCUGCCCUCAGCUCUGGGAUAAGCCUGGGAAACUGGGUCUAAUACUGGAUAUGACUCCACGGUGCAUGUCGUGGGGUGGAAAGCCUUGUGCGGCUGAGGAUGGGCCCGCGGCCUAUCAGCCUUGUUGGUGGGGUGANGGCCUACCAAGGCGACGACGGGUAGCCGGCCUGAGAGGGCGACCGGCCACACUGGGACUGAGACACGGCCCAGACUCCUACGGGAGGCAGCAGUGGGGAAUCUUGCGCAAUGGGCGAAAGCCUGACGCAGCGACGCCGCGUGAGGGAUGACGGCCUCGGU